CUGGGCAGCCUCUUAAGGCUUCUAGGAAUUCGCAUCCUCCGCGCCCCCGCCAGCGGAUCGGUUGCGAGAGGGACCGUUCGGGCCCGCGGGGCCGGGAAUGGAGGAGACCCCGGGCGACGGUGGGGCUCUUGGGCAUUCUGAGACUGCGCUUGGUGGAGCCCCCUACUGGCCCGACCGGAUUUCUCAGCCUGCGACUCAGCCCCAGGCUACGCGAAAGAGGCCGGACCCGGGUAAUUCUUCUAGUUCUUCUUCUUCUUCUUUUUUUUUUUUUUUAAUUGCACUGGGAAACUUACCCAAUCUCGGCCCCAGUUCUUUCCCACUCACUAUCUGCAAACUAAGAGUCAUGGUCUUUCGCCCGCUAGUCCAAUAUGCAUCCCUAGGCGCGUCAUUUUAUCUCUUGUCAGCUUUUACUGCCUCCUGAGGCCUUCCUCUUGUUCACACUGAGUGUCCAGUCCUUCCAAAUCUGACUACACUCUACUGGCAAGGAACACCUGGGCCAUGUUUUAGAGAUCAUCUGAAGACUAACCCCAAAAGUUUAUGAAGAGAAAGCGGAGGCCAAGCUGGAGAUGGACCCGGGUCACACCCAGGUAGAGGCAGGAUCUAAACUCAAACUGGUGUCAAAUCUGGUUGCCUUGCACCCCUGAUACCAGGUGAAGCAACACUGGGCAGGAUCCAGCAGAGUGAAGUCAGAGUGUGAAGACCCAGCCUGAUGCCCAAACUGAUGCCUCUUCAUUCUCCCCCGCUCCGUCUGUAAAUAAUCCAUCUACUUUAUUGCAUUAUAUGGAGAAAUAAAUGAAAUGUCAUAGCUGUAUGCUCUAUAUGA
rnacentral:lncRNA from 1 species